rfam:Serendipita vermifera MAFF 305830 unplaced genomic scaffold scaffold_26, whole genome shotgun sequence.
ACACCGGUGGUGAAACGGUAUCAUGCUUGCCUUCCAUUCAUGCGAUCAGCAAGCGGCACGGGUUCGACUCCCGUCCGGUGUA